rnacentral:lncRNA from 1 species
AGGAGUCUAGGGGACAACUUGCACCGGACCAGCCAAAAGUGGCCCAAGAGAAAAGGUUCCCACCAGUCCGACGACCCAACAUAGAGAGCCAUCUGCCAUUCUGACAAGGGGGGACCGUCACCAAGAAUUGGGGCCUCUCGAUCCAACAUAGAGGCAGGGCUAGCCAAAAUUAACCAAUGACUGAAAACGAACCGAAAUAUCCAAGACUGAAACCGAAAUGACCAAAACAAAAAUAUUCGGUCCCAAGUUCGGUUCUCAGAUGCAACUAACCAAAUUUAACUCGGUUAAUUCAAUUCCCAGCCUCGGUUAACCGAAAAAACUAAAACAACCAAAUAUACCAAGAGGCCCAAUAAAACAUGUAGCACAUCCCAAUAUCACUCACUCUCCACCAUUCCACUUUAUCCUCAUGACAACCUCGCACCCCUACCAACCACACACCAUUCUCCAACCGAUCCCAACCCAUGGCACCGGUGCUCCUCCCCCCCAAUCCCACAGCCUGCUCCCCUUCCUAUAGGCUGCAGCAAGCAUCCAGUGACAGCGCUCCUCCAUUCCUCCAAUCCAGUAGGUAGAUCGAGGAGGUGGGGGUU